AUUCAUCCCAGUUUAGUUAGUAAACUCAUAUUUAUUUGGAUUUCAUUUCAGCCAUGAAUUCUCAUCAUGCCCAACAAUUUUCACUAGCACAGGGAAAAAAAUAUAUAUUUCAAAAAGUGAUAAGUACAAAAUAUGGACAUUUACAACAAAGAAAAAAUAUGGAAAACUCUAAGUGAGUGUGAACAUCAGAAAUUACAUUAUCAAAAAUCCAGCCUUGUUCACCACCAGAGAAUUCAUAUUGGAGAGAAACACUACAAAUGUGAAGAAUGUGGCAAAACUUUCAGUCAACAAUCUUAUCUAAUAUGUCACAGCAGAAUUCACACUGGAGAGAAGCCCUACAAAUGUGAAGAAUGUGGCAAAACUUUUAGUCAAAAAUCAGGCCUUAUUUACCACAGAAGAACUCACACUGGAGAGAAGCCCUACAAAUGUGAGGAAUGUGGCAAAGCUUUUCGUCAAAGAACAGGUCUUAUUUACCACAGAAGAACUCACACUGGAGAGAAGCCCUAUAAAUGUGAAGAAUGUGAUAAGAAUUUUAAAAUGAAAUUAAUCCUUAUUAUCCACAGAAGAACACAUACUGGAGAGAAGCCAUACAAAUAUGAAGAAUGUGGCAAAACUUUUAGACAAUAAAAAGACCUUAUUCACCACAGAAGAAUUCACACUAGAGAGAUGCCCUACAAUUAUGAGGAAUGUGGCAAAGCUUUUCAUCAAAAACAGGCCUUAUUUGCCACAGCAGAACUCAUGCUGGAGAGAAGCCCUACAAAUGUAAAGAAUGUGGCAAAGCUUUUAGUCGUAAAACAGGCCUUCUUAACCACAGCAGAACUCACACUGGAGCAAAGCCCUACAAAUUUGAAGAAUGUGACAAAGCUUUUAGUCAAAAAUCAAGCCUCAUUUACCACAGUAGAACUCACUGGAGAGAAGCCCUACAAUUGUGAAGAAUGUAAUACAGCAUUUAAAAGCAAAUCAGUUCUUAUUAUCCACAGCAGAAUUCAUACUGGAUGGAAACUCUACAGAUGUGCAGAAUGUGGCACAGCUUUUAGUCAACAAUCACACCUAAUAUGCCACAGAAGAACUCACACUGGAGAGAAGCAAUACAAAUGUGAAAAAUGUGGCAAAGCUUUCAGUCAAAAAAUAGGCUUUAUUUACCACAGCAGAACUCACACUGGAGAGUAGCCCCACAAAGGUAAAGAAAGUGAUAAAUCUUUUAAAGAAAAAAUCAAUCCUUAUUGUCCAGAGCAGAAUUCAUACUGGAGAGAGGUCCUACAAUGUGAAGAUAUGAAAAAAGCUUGUAGGAAAAGCAUAUUACCACAGCAUAACUCACUGAAGAAAAGCCCUCCAAAUGUAAAGAAUGUGGCAAAACUUUUAGUCAAAAAAUGUACCUUAUUAACCACAGAAGAACUCACACUGAGAGAAGCCCUACAAAUGUGAAGAAUGUGAUAAAGCUUUUAAAACCAAAUCAGUCCUUAUUAUCCACAGAAUAACACAGUGAAGAGAAGCCCUAUAAAUGUGAACAAUGUGAUAAAGCUUUUAAUAAAGAAUUGAUUCUUAUUAACCACAGCAGAACUAACAGUGAAGAGAAGCUCUACAAAUGUAAACAAUGUGGCAAAGCUUUUUAGUCAAAAAAAUAGACCAUAUUUCCCAUAGCAGAAUUCAUUGUAGGGAGAAGCCCUACCAAUGUGAAGAAUGUGACCAAGAUUUUAAUCAUAUAUCAUAUAUUACUAGACAUCAGAAAAACCAUACUGGAGACAAGCUCUACAUAUGAGAAUACUGUACCAUUUCUUUAAGAAUGGGCCAAAAUUUAAUCCAUUCCAAAAUGAUCAUAUCAGAGAGAAAUUAUCCAAAUAUAAAAACUGACAAUUUGACAAAGUCUCCAACACUUGUUUACCCAUUACUCUGUACCUGGAUAGGUACUGGUUAGAGUGAUUACUAUGAACCUGAGAAUAUGUACUGGUUAUGGUUAGAGUGAAUACAAGUGGAAAAAAUCUUUCAAAGCUUUUGGCCAUCUGUUGCUCAAACAUUACUGAUCAAUGGAAAAUUCAUACUCCCAGAAAUUCUAAGAAGUUAAAUAAUGUUUUCAAACCUUAUUCAAAUUUUAAAUUUAUUUAACAUCUGAAACCUCAUGUCUGUUCUAAAGGCUGAACAACAUUUGUCCAAAGUAUAUGCCUGAUAUAACAGCAAAACAUUUAUAAAAAACACAUUGACAAAUAUAAAAAUAUAGUAAAGUCAUUACUUAUUCUUUAAACCUUGAAGUAUAUGAGGAUCAGAAAGAGGAAACUUAUUUAAAUAUAGAAAAUAAGUAAUUUUCUUAAGCUUUUUCUUAAAAUUUAUUAAAAAUUAUUAGGUGAUAUAGUUAAAAUAACAAUCAUAAAUAUCAUACAUGCAUAGUGGAAAUAGCUCAUCUUUGACAGGUUAUGAACUUCUUAUAAAUCAAAGAUUACUAAAUAUUCUCACUUUUUAAUACUGGAGAAAGCAAUUAUAAGAAAUUUUUUCCUCAGAUUUUACAUUAAAUUGUAAUAUCUUAAACUAUAUUUUUGUACUGUGAAUUGAAUUUAGGAAUGUUUAACCACUGAGACACAUUCCCAGGCCUCCUGUCCUCUUUUUAAAACUUUCAAACUAGGUUUUGCUAAAUUGCUUAAGACUUCACUAAGCUGCUGAGGCUGACUUUGAACCUGUGAAAGUCCUCAGCUUCUCAAUUUUCUUGGAUUACAGGCAUGAAUCAUAAUGCCCAGUUCACAGUGUAUUUGUUACCUAUAUUUACAAUAUGAAUGUGUUCAUAUACAUAAAUAUUUGUUAACAUGUUAAUACUCAUAUAUUGAAUCAUGUUAUUAUCUCAGAGAUAUCACAAUAUCCACUUGAGUAAAGGAUGUAUAUAACAGUAAAACAUACUAUUUGGUAAGUAGUACUGUAACAUCUCUUAAUUAUUUCCCACAUUUUAAUCAAACUUAUUUGGGAAAUAUAAUUUGUGUAAGUCAGAUGUUUAUACUUUUUUAUUUGUAUUUAUGGAGAAAUUAAGAUAGUUAUAAGAAGGACAUAGAGAUAUAUGAAAAUAAGCCACAGAUUUUUAUAUAUUGAAUUACAACAUUAACAUUUUACCUCAUGUAAUGACUUUUAAAACCUGUGCAACUCUGGAAAGUCCAUAAAAUCUUUAAAUCAUGGAGAUUAUGAAUACCCUGAGACUGAGAACUUACAGUGCAUAUUUUAUUUAAAGAAGUCAUUGAAGAGGGAGCUAUUUUCAGUAUUUCCAUGGAAUUCAUGUGGUGAACAGGACACUGACUUAUCCUAGUUGUUGGUAAGUCUAGUAAGGAAAAAAAAAAAGACUGAGGAACCCAAGCAUUUAUUUUGUACUCCUUCAGAGUAACCCCUGAAGAAACUUGACUGAACUCUAAACAUUUUAUAUAAAAACAACCUUAUAUAGCCUUGGACACUCCACGAGUAAAUAAAACCAAGAAAAAAAUUAAAAUGAUGUAAAUAUUUACAUCUCCCACAAUUUAUUUUAUUAUCUUUUGACAUUAGAGACCUCUUUUUAUUCUAUCUUAUAAUUUAUAAGCACUGUUAUACAUAUCAGGUUAUAGGAUAAAUUAUAUAUGGCAUGGUCUCCUUAAACUUCUGUGCAACUGAGUUUUUAUAUAUUGAAUUACAUUAUAAACUAAACCUGUUCCUUUUUAGGUCUAACAGGUACCAUGCCAUUAGGGGGAAAACUAUUUUUAUUCAAAUGAGCCACUGGACUACAAGUUGUAUUCAAAUACCAAAACCCCAUAAAUUAUUCUAUAUUUUCUACAUGUGUUAGACCUUUGGGUCAACAAAAACCCCACAAACAUUGAUUUUAGUUAAAUUAUU
rnacentral:lncRNA from 1 species